rnacentral:lncRNA from 1 species
AGUACUUAAGCAUGUAACUAGAUAUACUUGAAUUCAAUAAGAAAAUAGACUUGAAAAAUAAAACAAUUUCGAGUAACCUCAUUAUUACUAACAUGUUUUAUUUCUGCACAGAAGAAGAUGAAUAAUAAAUAAAAGCUUCUUGGAUUUAGUCAAAGUAGGAUGUAAUAUUUCAAUGAUGCAAAUACUAUUUAUAUUCAUAUUUCGGAUACGUACUACUGUCAAGAAAAUUAUUGUUAUCUAAGUUUAUUGUUGAUUACUUCUAUUUAUAUUCUAAUAAUACAAAUCAAUUAAGAAGCAAUUCAUUAAAAUCAUUACAUCUUUAUUCAUAAAUAAAGAGAUCAU